AUUGAACGCUGGCGGCAGGCCUAACACAUGCAAGUCGAGCGAGAGGCGGACGGGGGAGGAAUGCCUAGGAAUCAGCCUGGGAGUGGGGGAUAAAUACGGGAAACGGUAGCUAAUACCGCAUACGAUCAGAGGGGCCCAGAUGGGUUUAGCUAGUUGGGGGGGUAACGGCUCACAUAGGCGACGACCCCUAGCCGGUCUGAGAGGAUGACCAGCCACACUGGAACUGAGACACGGUCCAGACUCCUACGGGAGGCAGCAGUGGGGAAUAUUGCACAAUGGGCGCAAGCCUGAUGCAGCCAUGCCGCGUGGAUGAAGAAGGCCUUCGGGUUGUAAAGUACUUUCAGCGGGGAGGCGUUACCCGCAGAAGAAGCACCGGCUAACUCCGUGCCAGCAGCCGCGGUAAUUC
rnacentral:rRNA from 1 species